rnacentral:rRNA from 1 species
AUUGAACGCUGGCGGAAUGCUUUACACAUGCAAGUCGAACGGCAGCACGGGGCAACCUGGUGGCGAGUGGCGAACGGGUGAGUAAUACAUCGGAACGUGCCCAAUCGUGGGGGAUAACGUAGCGAAAGUUACGCUAAUACCGCAUACGAUCUACGGAUGAAAGCGGGGGAUCGCAAGACCUCGCGCGAAUGGAGCGGCCGAUGUCAGAUUAGGUAGUUGGUGGGGUAAAGGCUCACCAAGCCGACGAUCUGUAGCCGGUCUGAGAGGACGACCAGCCACACUGGGAAUGAGACACGGCCCAGCCUCCUACGGGAGGCAGCAGUGGGGAAUUUUGGACAAUAGGCGCAAGCCUGAUCCAGCCAUUCCGCGUGCAGGAUGAAGGCCUUCGGGUUGUAAACUGCUUUUGUACGGAACGAAACGGCGAGCUCUAAUACAGUUUGCUAAUGACGGUACCGUAAGAAUAAGCACCGGCUAACUACGUGCCAGCCGCCGCCGUAACAC